GGGGCUCAGUCUGCAUGUGAAGCUCUGUAACAUGCUUUUAUGGGAAAUGGGUAUUUUAUUUGUUUUUAUCAAAUUUUAUUGGGGACAUUUUACUGUUUUUAUCCAAAUUUUAAUUGGGGGUAUUUUACUGUUUUUACUGGUACAAACUGAGAGUGAGGGGGCUCAGUCUGCAUGUGAAGCUCUGUAACAUGCUUUUAUGGAAAAAAAAGGGUAUUUUAUUUGUUUUUAUCAAAUUUUAAUUGGGGGUAUUUUACUGUUUUUACUAGAACAAACUGAGAGUGAGGGGCUCAGUCUGCAUGUGAAGCUCUGUAACAUGC
rnacentral:lncRNA from 1 species